rnacentral:rRNA from 1 species
CAAUAGCGUAUAUUAAAGUUGUUGCAGUUAAAAAGCUCGUAGUUGAAUUUCUGGUGGGCGCGCCGGUCUUCCAAGUGUUGUACUGGGCGCAGUCCGCCAUCCUUGUGGAGAGGGCUCGCAUUGAGUUGCGUGUCGGAUCUGCAUCAUUUACUGUGAAAAAAUUAGAGUGUUUAAAGCAGGCUGUCGCUUGAAUACAUUAGCAUGGAAUAAUAAGAUAGGACUUCGGUCUAUUUUGUUGGUUGCGAACCGGGGUAAUGAUUAAUAGGGAUAGUUGGGGGUAUUCAUAUUUAAUUGUCAGAGGUGAAAUUCUUGGAUUUAUGAAAGAUGAACAACUGCGAAAGCAUUUACCAAGGAUGUUUUCAUUAA